rnacentral:rRNA from 1 species
CCCUUAGAUGUCCUGGGCCGCACGCGCGCUACACUGAGUGUCUGAGAUACGAGUCUGCCUGGUCCGGCAAGGUCUAGGUAAUCGCUAAAAGACACAUCAUGCUUGGGAUAGAUUAUUGCAAAUAUUAAUCUUGAACGAGGAAUUCCUAGUAAGCGCAAGUCAACAGCUUGCGUUGAUUACGUCCCUGCCCUUUGUACACACCGCCCGUCGCUACUACUGAUUGGAUGUUUAAGCGAGGUUCUCGAACUGCUAGCGACUUAGCUUCGGUGAGGUCGCAGUGUGGGAAGUGAACCUAGCUUUGGUGUCUAGAAGAAGUAAAAGUCGUAACA